rnacentral:lncRNA from 1 species
CCGAUCGAACACUUGAUAAGUUUCCGAGCCAUGCCGAACAUUCUAAUGCUCAGGCCUGCCGAUGGAAAUGAGACCGCCGGAGCAUACAAGGUCGCGGUGCUCAACAGGAAGAGGCCAUCGGUGCUCGCUCUCUCGCGGCAGAAACUUCCUCAGCUUGCGGGAACAUCAAUCGAGGGAGUAGAGAAGGGAGGGUACAUCGUUUCAGACAACUCCUCAGGUAACAAACCAGACCUGAUCUUGAUGGGCACCGGUUCGGAACUGGAAAUUGCAGCGAAGGCUGCCGACGAGCUGAGGAAGACGGGGAAAACGGUCCGAGUGGUAUCGCUCGUCUGCUGGGAGUUGUUCGAGGAGCAAUCAGAUGAAUACAAGGAGAGUGUGCU